rnacentral:rRNA from 1 species
GAUGAACGCUGGCGGCGUGCCUAAUACAUGCAAGUCGAGCGAACAGACGAGGAGCUUGCUCCUCUGACGUUAGCGGCGGACGGGUGAGUAACACGUGGAUAACCUACCUAUAAGACUGGGAUUACUUCGGGAAACCGGAGCUAAUACCGGAUAAUAUAUUGAACCGCAUGGUUCAAUAGUGAAAGACGGUUUUGCUGUCACUUAUAGAUGGAUCCGCGCCGCAUUAGCUAGUUGGUAAGGUAACGGCUUACCAAGGCAACGAUGCGUAGCCGACCUGAGAGGGUGAUCGGCCACACGGGAAGUGAGACACGGUCCAGAGUACUACGGGAGGCAGCAGUAGGGAAUCUUCCGCAAUGGGCGAAAGCCUGACGGAGCAACGCCGCGUGAGUUAUGAAGGUCUUCGGAUCGUAAAACUCUGUUAUGAGGGAAGAACAAAUGUGUAAGUAACUAUGCACGUCUUGACGGUACCUAAUCAGAAAGCCACGGCUAACUACGUG